rnacentral:rRNA from 1 species
GACGAACGCUGGCGGCGUGCCUAAUACAUGCAAGUCGAGCGAAGCGGCGGAUCGGUGAGUAACGAGUGGGUAACCUGCCCUUAAGUCUGGGAUCCCCAUUGGAAACCGAUGCUAAUACCGGAUACAAAAGGAUUGACCAGCGAUGCAUUAGCUAGUUGGGAAGGUAACGGCUUACCAAGGCGAUGAUGCAUAGCCGAGGUGAGAGACUGAUCGGCCACAUUGUGACUGCGACACGGCCCAACCUCCUACGGGAGGCAGCAGUAGGGAAUCUUCCACAAUGGACGAAAGUCUGAUGGAGCAACGCCGCGUGAGUGAAGAAGGUUUUCGGAUCGUAAAGCUCUGUUGUUGGUGAAGCGGUAAUCAACCAGAAAGUCACGGCUAACUCCGUGCCAGCAGCCGCGGUAAUUC